CCUACGGGGCGCAGCAGUGGGGAAUAUUGCACAAUGGGCGAAAGCCUGAUGCAGCAACGCCGCGUGAGCGAUGAAGGCCUUCGGGUCGUAAAGCUCUGUCCUCAAGGAAGAGAAUGACGGUACCUGACCAAGAAGCCCCGGCUAAAUACGUGCCAGCAGCCGCGGUAAUACGUAUGGGGCAAGCGUUAUCCGGAUUUACUGGGUGUAAAGGGAGCGUAGGCGGCAGGGCAAGCCUGAUGUGAAAGCCCGGGGCUCAACCCCGGGACUGCAUUGGGAACUGCCCCGCUCGAGUGCCGGAGGGGCAG
rnacentral:rRNA from 1 species